AUUACGUUAAGUUAGAUUACAUUAUUCCUAAGUUGUUACAAAAAGGUUCCAAUAAUUUAAUUUCCAAGUGACGAUCGCUGGUGGGCUUGUGGGUACGUGGGACGGGGCGGGGCAGGGCGUCAGUCACUCCCAGACAGAAGGAGGGGGUGCACGUGUUGUCUCUGCUCGUGCCUCGUGCUGAAAUGAAAGCCGUGGAUGAUUCGCGUGAGUGCUGAGACAGGUGUGGCCGCCCAUCUUACCUGUGUACACCUUUACCUGCCUCGAGGGAAAAAGUAAACAGGAAAACAUUUUGAAGGACGAGGAGAAAGAGAAGAUGAAGAAAGAGGAAGAGGAGAAGAUGAAGAAGGAGGAAGAGGAGGAGAAGAGCAAAAUACACACUUAAAUAUUAUCAUGAUUCUACUGAAGAAGCGUGGCAAACCUUAGGGAACCCCAUUUAGGAAAAUAAAAAAAUAUAUAAACCGGCUACUUGUUAGUUUUUAUACACAAGGGAGGCAGUGAAAGACUGAAAAAGUUCAUGAAAGAAAAAAAAAGCGGGAUAUUUAUUUGCUUUUUAUACACAAGGGAGACAAACAAAAAGAGAGA